rnacentral:rRNA from 1 species
GACGAACGCUGGCGGCGCGCCUAACACAUGCAAGUCGAACGAGCGAGAGAGAGCUUGCUUUCUCGAGCGAGUGGCGAACGGGUGAGUAACGCGUGAGGAACCUGCCUCAAAGAGGGGGACAACAGUUGGAAACGACUGCUAAUACCGCAUAAGCCCACGGCUCGGCAUCGAGCAGGGGGAAAAGGAGCCAUCCGCUUUGAGAUGGCCUCGCGUCCGAUUGGCUAGUUGGUGAGGUAACGGCCCACCAAGGCGACGAUCGGUCCCCGGACCGAGAGGUUGAACUACCACAGUGGGACUACGCCACAGCCCAGCCUCCUACAGGAGGCAGCAGUGGAGAAUAUUACACAAUGAGGGAAACCCUGAUGCCUCGACGCCGCGUGGAGGAAGAAGGUCUUCGGAUUAUAAACUCCUGUUGUUGGGAAAGAUAAUAACGGUACCCAACAAGGAAGUGACGGCUAACUACGUG